rnacentral:rRNA from 1 species
CCUACGGGAGGCAGCAGUGGGGAAUAUUGCACAAUGGGGGGAACCCUGAUGCAGCGACGCCGCGUGAGUGAAGAAGCGCCUCGGCGCGUAAAGCUCUGUCAGCAGGAACGAUAAUGACGGUACCUGAAGAAGAAGCCCCGGCUAACUACGUGCCAGCAGCCGCGGUAAUACGUAGGGGGCAAGCGUUAUCCGGAUUUACUGGGUGUAAAGGGAGCGUAGACGGCGGGGCAAGUCUGGAGUGAAAGGCCGGGGCCCAACCCCGGGACCGCUCUGGAAACUGCCCGGCUGGAGUGCGGGAGAGGUAAGCGGAAUUCCUAGUGUAGCGGUGAAAUGCGUAGAUAUUAGGAGGAACACCAGCGGCGAAGGCGGCUUACUGGACCGUGACUGACGUUGAGGCUCGAAAGCGUGGGGAGCAAACAGGAUUAGAUACCCGAGUAG